GAUGAACGCUGGCGGCGUGCCUAAUACAUGCAAGUCGAGCGAACAGACGAGGAGCUUGCUCCUUCGACGUUAGCGGCGGACGGGUGAGUAACACGUAGGUAACCUACCUAUAAGAAUGGGAUAACUUCGGGAAACCGGAGCUAAUACCGGAUAAUAUUUCGCACCGCAUGGUUCGAUAGUGAAAGAUGGCUUUGCUAUCACUUAUAGAUGGACCUGCGCCGUAUUAGCUAGUUGGUAAGGUAACGGCUUACAAAGGCAACGAUACGUAGCCGACCUGAGAGGGUGAUCGGCUACACGGGAACUGAGACACGGUCCAGACUCCUACGGGAGGCAGCAGUAGGGAAUCUUCCGCAAUGGGCGAAAGCCUGACGGAGCAACGCCGCGUGAGUGAUGAAGGUCUUCGGAUCGUAAAACUCUGUUAGUAGGGAAGAACAAACGUGUAAGUAACUGUGCACGUCUUGACGGUACCUAAUCAGAAAGCCACGGCUAACUACGUG
rnacentral:rRNA from 1 species